rnacentral:rRNA from 1 species
GGGUCAGUAGGUUGGUCGUGCCACCGGUACGUACUGGUCUCACUGAUUCCUCCUUCCUGAAGAACCGUAAUGCCAUUAAUUUGGUGUUGCGGGGAAACAGGACUGUUACUUUGAAAAAAUUAGAGUGUUUAAAGCAAGCCAGCGCUUGAAUACAUUAGCAUGGGAUAAUGAAAUAGGACGAUCGAUCCUAUUUUGUUGGUUUCUAGGAUUGACGUA